rnacentral:rRNA from 1 species
AACGAACGCUGGCGGCAUGCCUAACACAUGCAAGUCGAACGAGACCUUCGGGUCUAGUGGCGCACGGGUGCGUAACGCGUGGGAACCUGCCCUUAGGUUCGGAAUAACUCCCCGAAAGGGGUGCUAAUACCGGAUAAUGUCUUCGGAUCAAAGAUUUAUCGCCUUUGGAUGGGCCCGCGUUGGAUUAGCUAGUUGGUAGGGUAAAAGCCUACCAAGGCGACGAUCCAUAGCUGGUCUGAGAGGAUGAUCAGCCACACUGGGACUGAGACACGGCCCAGACUCCUACGGGAGGCAGCAGUGGGGAAUAUUGGACAAUGGGCGAAAGCCUGAUCCAGCAAUGCCGCGUGAGUGAUGAAGGCCUUAGGGUUGUAAAGCUCUUUUACCCGGGAUGAUAAUGACAGUACCAGGAGAAUAAGCUCCGGCUAACUCCGUG